CACUCCUGCGGGAGGCAGCAGUGGGGAAUAUUGGACAAUGGGCGCAAGCCUGAUCCAGCCAUGCCGCGUGAGUGAUGAAGGCCCUAGGGUUGUAAAGCUCUUUCACCGGUGAAGAUAAUGACGGUAACCGGAGAAGAAGCCCCGGCUAACUUCGUGCCAGCAGCCGCGGUAAUACGAAGGGGGCUAGCGUUGUUCGGAUUUACUGGGCGUAAAGCGCACGUAGGCGGACUAUUAAGUCAGGGGUGAAAUCCCGGGGCUCAACCCCGGAACUGCCUUUGAUACUGGUAGUCUUGAGUUCGAGAGAGGUGAGUGGAAUUCCGAGUGUAGAGGUGAAAUUCGUAGAUAUUCGGAGGAACACCAGUGGCGAAGGCGGCUCACUGGCUCGAUACUGACGCUGAGGUGCGAAAGCGUGGGGAGCAAACAGGAUUAGAAACCCCAGUAGUUCCCAUGA
rnacentral:rRNA from 1 species